GACGAACGCUGGCGGCUUGCCUAAUACAUGCAAGUCGAGCGCAGGAAGUCAUCCGAACCCUUCGGGGGGACGUUGACGGAAUGAGCAGCGGACGGGUGAGUAACACGUAAAGAACCUGCCCUCAGGUCUGGGAUAACCACGAGAAAUCGGGGCUAAUACCGGAUGGGUCAUCGGACCGCAUGGUCCGAGGAUGAAAGGCGCUCCGGCGUCGCCUGGGGAUGGCUUUGCGGUGCAUUAGCUAGUUGGUGGGGUAAUGGCCCACCAAGGCGACGAUGCAUAGCCGACCUGAGAGGGUGAUCGGCCACACUGGGACUGAGACACGGCCCAGACUCCUACGGGAGGCAGCAGUAGGGAAUCUUCCACAAUGGACGAAAGUCUGAUGGAGCAACGCCGCGUGAACGAUGAAGGCCCUCGGGUCGUAAAGUUCUGUUGUAAGGGAAGAACAAGUGCCGCAGGCAAUGGCGGCACCUUGACGGUACCUUGCGAGAAAGCCACGGCUAACUACGUG
rnacentral:rRNA from 1 species